AUGCAAUGAUGAGGACAUCUUCUCAACAAAUCUUUAUAUCUUUCCAAUGCAUCAUAAAGAGAUUCACCAUCUUGUUGAAGAAAAGAGGUGAUUUCACUUCGCAACUU